rnacentral:sRNA from 17 species
GCUUUAAAUAAUUAGCUUUAAAUAUUAUAGAACUACUAUAUUAGCGCACAGACGCUAAGAAAGUCAGUCCCAAAAGAAUAUAUUUUCGCCAACACCAGGGGACUUUUAGUCCCGCAGAUCUGUUUUACCCCGCCAUCUGGAUGCCUUUACAUUCAGAUGGCUGUAA